UACGGGGGGGGCAAGCGUUGUUCGGAAUUACUGGGCGUAAAGGGCUCGUAGGUGGCCAACUAAGUCAGACGUGAAAUCCCUCGGCUUAACCUGGGAAUGGCAUUUGGGACUGCAAGGCUUGAGUGCGGCAGAGGAGACUGGAAUUCCUGGUGUAGCAGUGAAAUGCGUAGAUAUCAGGAGGAAUACCGAUGGCGAAGGCAGGUCUCUGGGCUGACACUGACGCUCAUGCACGAAAGCGUGGGGAGCAAACAGG
rnacentral:rRNA from 1 species